GGGAGAAUGGGUGCGGGGGGGGAGGUAAGAGGGCGGGUGGGGGGGUUGGUCGGGAUGACUGGGGGGAAGGCGUGGGCAGGCGGGUCGGUGGGUCGGCGGUGAAGGGCGGGGGCUGAGCCUGGGAACGGGCGUGGAAAAUGGCGAAGUGGAGUGUGGGAGAGGGGGGUGGAAUUCCGCGUGUAGCAGUGAAAUGCGUAGAGAUGCGGAGGAACACCGAUGGCGAAGGCAGCCCCCUGGGCUGACACUGACGCUCAGGCACGAAAGCGUGGGGAGCAAACAGGAUUAGAUACCCGAGUAGUC
rnacentral:rRNA from 1 species